UUAUACAACCUCAACUCAUAUGGGACUACCCCCUGAAUUUAAGCAUAUUAAUUAGGGGAGGAAAAGAAACUAACAAGGAUUUUCUUAGUAGCGGCGAGCGAAAAGAAAUCAGUUCAGCACUAAGUCACUUUGUCGUAUAUGGCAAAUGUGAGAUGCAGUGUAUGGAACAUCAAUAUUAUAGUAUGAGAAAUUAACGAUUUAAGUCUUUCUUAAAUGAGGCCAUUUACCCAUAGAGGGUGCCCGGCCCGUAUAACGUUAAUGAUUAUUAGAUGGUGUUUCCAAAGAGUCGUGUUGCUUGAUAGUGCAGCAUWAAGUGGGUGGUAAACUCCAUCUAAAACUAAAUAUAACCAUGAGACCGAUAGUAAACAAGUACCGUGAGGGAAAGUUGAAAAGAACUCUGAAUAGAGAGUUAAAUAGUACGUGAAACUGCUUAGAGGUUAAGCCCGAUGAACCUGAAUAUCCGUUAUGGAAAAUUCAUCAUUAGAGUUGUAAUAUUUAAACAAUAUUAUAAUAAUAGUGUGCAUUUUUUCCAUAUAAGGACAUUGUAAUCUAUUAGUAACAAAAAUUUAUCAAAAAAUUUUGGAUAAGAGCUUAUUUAAAUUAAAAUGCUUGCGUUUUAACAUAAAAUGAAUGUCAUAAAUUUGAUAAAGUGCUGAUAGAUUUAUAUGAGUACAGUGUGUUAAUUUUUCGGAAUUAUAUAAUGGCAUAACUAUCAUUGAUUUUUGUGUUUAUUAUAUGCACUUGUAUGAUUAACAAUGCGAAAGAUUCAGGAUACCUUCGGGACCCGUCUUGAAACACGGACCAAGGAGUCUAACAUAUGUGCAAGUUAUUGGGAUAAAAACCUAAUAGCGUAAUUAACUUGACUAAUAAUGGGAUUAGUUUUUUAACUAUUUAUAGUUAAUUAACGCAAUCCCGGGGCGUUCUAUAUAGUUAUGUAUAAUGAUAUUUAUAUUAUUUAUACCUCUAACUGGAACGUACCUUGAGCAGAUAUGCUGUGACCCGAAAGAUGGUGAACU
rnacentral:rRNA from 1 species